UGCCCUGCUUCCAGGAAAAGCCUCUAAGCAUCAGGUAACAUCAAAUCGUACCCCAAACCGACACAGGUGGUCAGGUAGAGAAUACCAAGGCGCUUGAGAGAACUCGGGUGAAGGAACUAGGCAAAAUGGUGCCGUAACUUCGGGAGAAGGCACGCUGACACGUAGGUGAAGUGAUUUACUCAUGGAGCUGAAGUCAGUCGAAGAUACCAGCUGGCUGCAACUGUUUAUUAAAAACACAGCACUGUGCAAACACGAAAGUGGACGUAUACGGUGUGACGCCUGCCCGGUGCCGGAAGGUUAAUUGAUGGGGUCAGCGCAAGCGAAGCUCCUGAUCGAAGCCCCGGUAAACGGCGGCCGUAACUAUAACGGUCCUAAGGUAGCGAAAUUCCUUGUCGGGUAAGUUCCGACCUGCACGAAUGGCGUAAUGAUGGCCAGGCUGUCUCCACCCGAGACUCAGUGAAAUUGAACUCGCUGUGAAGAUGCAGUGUACCCGCGGCAAGACGGAAAGACCCCGUGAACCUUUACUAUAGCUUGACACUGAACAUUGAGCCUUGAUGUGUAGGAUAGGUGGGAGGCUUUGAAGUGUGGACGCCAGUCUGCAUGGAGCCGACCUUGAAAUACCACCCUUUAAUGUUUGAUGUUCUAACGUGGACCCGUGAUCCGGGUUGCGGACAGUGUCUGGUGGGUAGUUUGACUGGGGCGGUCUCCUCCUAAAGAGUAACGGAGGAGCACGAAGGUUGGCUAAUCCUGGUCGGACAUCAGGAGGUUAGUGCAAUGGCAUAAGCCAGCUUGACUGCGAGCGUGACGGCGCGAGCAGGUGCGAAAGCAGGUCAUAGUGAUCCGGUGGUUCUGAAUGGAAGGGCCAUCGCUCAACGGAUAAAAGGUACUCCGGGGAUAACAGGCUGAUACCGCCCAAGAGUUCAUAUCGACGGCGGUGUUUGGCACCUCGAUGUCGGCUCAUCACAUCCUGGGGCUGAAGUAGGUCCCAAGGGUAUGGCUGUUCGCCAUUUAAAGUGGUACGCGAGCUGGGUUUAGAACGUCGUGAGACAGUUCGGUCCCUAUCUGCCGUGGGCGCUGGAGAACUGAGGGGGGCUGCUCCUAGUACGAGAGGACCGGAGUGGACGCAUCACUGGUGUUCGGGUUGUCAUGCCAAUGGCACUGCCCGGUAGCUAAAUGCGGAAGAGAUAAGUGCUGAAAGCAUCUAAGCACGAAACUUGCCCCGAGAUGAGUUCUCCCUGAGACUUUAGGUCUCCUGAAGGAACGUUGAAGACGACGACGUUGAUAGGCCGGGUGUGUAAGCGCAGCGAUGCGUUGAGCUAACCGGUACUAAUGAACCGUGAGGCUUAACCUU
rnacentral:rRNA from 1 species